rnacentral:tRNA from 31 species
GCGCGAGUGGUGAAAUUGGCAGACACGCAGGAUUUAGGUUCCUGUGCCUUCGGGCGUGGGGGUUCAAGUCCCCCCUUGCGCAC